UACGUAGGGUGCAAGCGUUAAUCGGAAUUACUGGGCGUAAAGCGUGCGCAGGCGGUGAUGUAAGACAGAUGUGAAAUCCCCGGGCUCAACCUGGGAACUGCAUUUGCGACUGCAUCGCUGGAGUACGGCAGAGGGGGAUGGAAUUCCGCGUGUAGCAGUGAAAUGCGUAGAUAUGCGGAGGAACACCGAUGGCGAAGGCAAUCCCCUGGGCCUGUACUGACGCUCAUGCACGAAAGCGUGGGGAGCAAACAGG
rnacentral:rRNA from 1 species